rnacentral:rRNA from 1 species
AUGUUACCAGUGAAGAAGAGCAACCCCAACGGGCCACGCACGGUCCGGCGUGGAUGGCAAACCCCGGCUAUCGGCAGCGCCAAGAUUUAUGUUGAUGGUGGAGUCAACCGAGGAGAAAACAAAGGUGCUGUUAGUGCAGUCUGCCGGGACUCAAGCGGCACGUUCCUUGGAGCAUCAUCGGUGGUGUUUGAGGGGCUUACUCAGCCGGCAAUCCUGGAAGCUAUUGCCUGUAAUGAGGCUCUCUCCCUGGCUCUAGACUUGAACCUGUCCAAGUUACAGAUUGCCACGAACUGUUGGCAAGUAGUACGGAACAUUGAAGAGGAGAAUCCAUGCAACUAUGGAGUGAUUGUCAAAGAGAUCCUAGUGAAGAAGGAGCUAUUCCAGGAAGUAUCUAUUAGUCAUGAGUCUCGAGUUUGUAAUUUAGAAGCACACAAUCUUGUUAGGGCUUCGACUUCUCUUGAGAGUGGGCGCCAUGUUUGGCUCACCUCCCCCACCAAUAGCUUGUAUUCCCAUAAACUUUGCCUAAAUAAAGCUAUUUGGUGUUCUCAAAAAAAAUCUCUAGAAGGUUUAUUAUUUUUAUUAUUUCUCAAAAAAAAAAUCUCUAGAAGGUGGCGAACGGUUGGGGUAGGCACGAAAAUUUCCAUUCCAAGAUUUUCCGCCAAGGAAAACGAAGACAAUGCUCACACGUACGCGGGUCACCUCACUUGA